CACGCCGUAAACGAUGGGCACUAGGUGUGGGAGGUGUCGACUCCUCCCGUGCCGUCGCUAACGCACUAAGUGCCCCGCCUGGGGAGUACGGCCGCAAGGCUAAAACUCAAAGGAAUUGACGGGGGCCCGCACAAGCAGCGGAGCAUGUGGUUUAAUUCGACGCAACGCGAAGAACCUUACCUGGGCUUGACAUGUAGGUGACUGCCGUGGAAACACGGUUUUCCUUCGGGACACCUUCACAGGUGGUGCAUGGCUGUCUUCAUCUCAUGUUUUGUUAUGU
rnacentral:rRNA from 1 species